AGGAGAGGAAUAAAGCAUCAUUAGUAGUACAUAGAGCUGAGAUGGAAAUGAGGCAGCAUUUUGGGCGGUUCCGGGGUUCUGCUGUCAUCUUUUUCGGCUGGUUUACUCUCCAUUGUUUUGCGGUCAUAAAUCUUUUGGCUCAGAUUGUGUAGUUUCGACAGAUUGCAUGUUUGGACAGUACAAUGGAUGUAUUGGGACGUUCGGUCGUUUGCUAGCUGUUGCUCCCAAGACACCAAUGUUUGACAGUGUGUAGUACCGUUUGCCAGCAAAGGUAUCACAUUUUGACAGUGUGGAUCAACUUUCGUUUACCUGCAACUCUUCGUUUUUGGAUUCUUGAUGCAAAUUAGGUCUUAGCCGGCAAGUGAGCAAGUCUGUGAGUAUACCCAUCACUAGGAGAAUCAGUUAAAGGUUUGAUCUGGGGCCUUCAAAAUUAGUUUAAAAAUCUUAUAAUAACAAUUACUGUUGCGUAGAUCAUUCAUAGUGCUACUUAGGUUAACGUGACUAUCUUAAUAAAUAUUAAUUGAAAUAAAACUAGUUUACAAACAAAUAUAUUGUUAGGAUAGGAGAUCGUUCACUACGAGUAAA